CCUACGGGUGGCAGCAGUGAGGAAUAUUGGUCAAUGGGCGCGAGCCUGAACCAGCCAAGUCGCGUGAGGGAAGACUGCCCUAUGGGUUGUAAACCUCUUUUAUUCGGGAAGAAAGUGCCGUACGUGUGGGUUGAUGCAUGUACUGAAUGAAUAAGCAUCGGCUAACUCCGUGCCAGCAGCCGCGGUAAUACGGAGGAUGCGAGCGUUAUCCGGAUUUAUUGGGUUUAAAGGGUGCGUAGGCGGCCUGUUAAGUCGGUGGUAAAAUUUGGGGGCUAAACCUCAAAUUGCCAUUUAUACUGGCAGCCUUGAGUACAGUUGAGGUAGGCGGAAUAAGUGGUGUAGCGGUGAAAUGCUUAGAUAUCACGAAGAACUCCGAUAGCGAAGGCAGCCUACUAAGCUGCCACUGACGCUGAAGCUCGAGAGUGUGGGUAGCAAACAGGAUUAGAUACCCCAGUAGUC
rnacentral:rRNA from 1 species